ensembl:lncRNA
GGGGAACUUUGGGGUGUGCUCGGAAAAGGCAGCGUGCGCACCUAGGGCGAGGGACUAGCUGGGAAGGGUGUGCCUGUGCUUGGGGAUGGGAGCAGGAAGUGUCUGGGACCUCGUCGCCCCCGCGGCGGUGUAUAAAGCCGGGCGGGCCGUCAGAGCGGAGCUUCAGAGCAGAGACAAGAGCCCAGAAAGGAGCAGAUGCUAGAUUUGCAAGAUCAGAAGCAGGUCUUGAUCCUCCUGCCCAGGAUGAACCAGACUUGAUGAUGCCACCUUCAGGAGCCACCACACUGUGUGACAGUGGGGCAUUUGGGCCGUCCCUGGGAAGAACAGAUGCGCUGCUGUCACACAUGUCCACCACCACAUGUGACAUUAGUGACGUUAUCCUGACGUCACAGGAUCCAAGAAUGAUGAUCUGUGAAGAGUUUUCCAAGGUCACCUACUUCUAACUCUUUUGAAAGAUUUAAAGACAUUGGGCCUGAAAACUUCAGUGACUUGUCCGGGGAAACGCAGUUUGUGACAGUUCACUCUCUCACAGCUGAAGCACAGUCCUCUGUACUCGCCCAGGAGCCACAGAGAGUGAACAUCCCUCAGAAGAAAUAGCGAAGCUGGUCUAGCGCUUGGUGAUAUUUCCAAAGAGUCCUUUUGUGAAUGGCCGUGAGAAGAUGUCCUCCUUCAGCCAAGGAUGAAGUCUUAUACUUGGUAUUCUUUAAAGUACCUGAUGCCAUGCUACACAACUAGUGUGUGUGCAUCCAUUCAUCUGACAGAUAUUUAUUGACUCACCUACCAGCUGACUCCCUGGGAAGCCAGAGCAGUUUGCCAACUAAUAUGGUUAAUUGGGAUUUGAUAAGUGCUAUAAAG